rnacentral:misc_RNA from 1 species
GUCGCAGGUAGUAGGACAAGGUCGGCCAGCAUGGAAAUGCCAGUGGCACGGCUGCGGGAGAUGCGUAAUGGCUGCUUGCGUGCUGCUGGACGCGAGUAAGCGCGACAGGCAAAUCGGCAAGCAGGAGGAGGCUAGGUCCGAUGGUGGUGGAGGCGAAGGCGAUGCGGUGCAGGGAUGAGGGCGGGACUAGGAUCGGACUAGGAUUGGAGGGAGUAGUUAAUCU